rnacentral:other from 1 species
CACAAAAGGAGGGAGUGGAGGAGAGGCUCAACUUCCUCCACCUUCCUGAGCAGUGGGAAAGACUGGGGAGUUUGUAGGCAAGAUUGGGGGCGCCCGUUGCCUGUCCCCACCUACCUACCCCUGUGGCUCAUUCUCUCCUGGUCUGUCUGUUGGUUGUAGUGUUGGAGGUUGGCGCGACUCUGUGCCCCCCACGGGAAGGAAGCACUCCCCCACAGCAAAAAGAGCGGAGAGGAAAGUGGUCAGUCGGCUGCCGCGGAGGCGAACAGAUGCCCAGCUGCACCGCGUCCACCAUG